AAGGGCAAUGAGGGUUAUAAUGAGGCGGUGACUGAGUGAGACUUCAAGAAGUUAAGAAAUAGGAGGUGGGUGGAGAUCUAAUGUCUAAGGAGGAGAGAGGAAGAGAGACAGACAGACAAGACAGAGGAUGUGAGCAGGAUAGGUCAGAGGGAAGAAGAAAAGCAAGACUAGACACAGAAAGACAAAGACCACCAAGACAGGAAGCAGACAUGGAAGUCAACUCUUUCCAAAUGAAAAUCUGUAUCAAGUUGCUGGCUGGCUGUCUUGUCCCUGUUGGCGCAUCGAAACUAUGCCGGGUCACAGAGUGUUUGGACGGGUCUUCCUGUUGUGAUUCUGAGGCCAAAGUCUACCUGGACUACAGCUGGUACGGGCCACUAUUUAUCUGCAUGUUGAUUAUGUUCUCUGUCCUAUGCCUAUGUGGUAUCUGUAAUAAUGUUUGUCGUUUCCGAAAUCGGUCUACACCACCAUCACCAAGAGAUACGCCUCUUAUAAACAUGGGUGCACCACCACCAUAUGAAGAGGUUACAGCCAAACCAUUCCUUUACCCUCCCAGUACCUCCAGUCCGCCAUCUUACAGCAGUGUGAUACUCAACAACCCUGACCCUACACCUCCUGUUUUGGGGGUUCAAAGCCGAUGAUAGAGACACUUGAAUCUCACUUAUGUUUACUCACAGAUGUCACACAGAUCAGUGGAGGGAUCUGUGGGGCUACUGCAUGGAGCAAUGACAUGGAGAUUUGCAGAAUAAAGACAAAGUAGAAGAAAACCACCUAAAGGUCAUAAGGAGGAACCCAGAAAGCGACACAGAUUACUUCUAGUAAUGAGAAGAGAAUUUGUACAGUGAAAAAUAAUGAUGAUGAGUUAUGGAGAUGUUAUAUGGAGUAAUAGGAGGAGAUAUAGGGAGAGGUUAUAUGGAGUAAUAGGAGGAGAUAUAGGGAGAGGUUAUAUGGAGUAAUAGGAGGAGAUAUAGGGAGAAGUUAUAUAGGGAGAGAUUAUAUGGAGUAGUAGGAGGAGAUAUAGAGAGAUAGUAUAUGGAGUAAUAGGAGGAGAUAAGGUGAGGGGUUAUAUGGAGUAAUAGGAGGAUAUAUAGGGAGAGGUUAUAUG